rnacentral:rRNA from 1 species
AUUGAACGCUGGCGGCAGGCCUAACACAUGCAAGUCGAGCGGAUGAGAGGAGCUUGCUCUUUGAUUCAGCGGCGGACGGGUGAGUAAUGCCUAGGAAUCUGCCUGGUAGUGGGGGACAACGUUUCGAAAGGAACGCUAAUACCGCAUACGUCCUACGGGAGAAAGUGGGGGAUCUUCGGACCUCACGCUAUCAGAUGAGCCUAGGUCGGAUUAGCUAGUUGGUGAGGUAACGGCUCACCAAGGCGACGAUCCGUAACUGGUCUGAGAGGAUGAUCAGUCACACUGGAACUGAGACACGGUCCAGACUCCUACGGGAGGCAGCAGUGGGGAAUAUUGGACAAUGGGCGCAAGCCUGAUCCAGCCAUGCCGCGUGUGUGAAGAAGGUCUUCGGAUUGUAAAGCACUUUAAGUUGGGAGGAAGGGCAGUAACUUAAUACGUUGCUGUUUUGACGUUACCGACAGAAUAAGCACCGGCUAACUCUGUGCCAGCCGCCGCGGUAA